CUUCCCCACACAGCUGGUCCGUGAGCACCACUUCUCCUCACAAAGACCUGGAGGGCCCCCGAAUGCAGCCCGGGCACCUUAUGUCUGAACGACAGGCACAAGUCUCCAGCAUGAGCCACGUGGCCCAGCGGCAGAAUAAGGACCAAAUGCGUAAGCGCUGUGAAAAAAACAAAUCGGGGCUCCACAAGCUCCAGCAAGUGUUGAGUAGAGCGUAUUAGAGCUGGAACAUGCACCAGCACUGCCACAGCUCCCUCCCACAAGUUGUUAUCAUUAUGAAAGAACUGACCUGACUCAUUGCCUGCAUCUGUUUCAGAUAGUUACAGUGACUGACUCCAAUCAAUAGGAAACAGAUUUAGAUAAUUAUCAGCCUGAAAAGAGCUGCUGGGGGCAUGUGCUGUAGCAGCAAACGCAAGCACGGACAUCUCUGACAAGGUAGAAUGUAAGGAAGAUGGCUCUCAGUGCCCUCAUCCUCCCUCAACGUUUUACCACCUACAGCAUUUUACUCCCUGAGAGCACUUUCCUUCUGCAGCCUCCAUCCAUCCGCUCGCAUCAUGUGAACACUGUGCGCUUCAAAGGCUGCUCUUCCUCUUCUGGGUACGAGGUAAUCCCAUGGUUACAGGCAGCCAGAGCUGUGUGUCUAAUCCCCAAGGCUGUGGCUACCGGCCCCCUCCUGUCCUGCACGAGGCUUGCGCGCUGUCCUGCUUCAUUUCAAGGUCACUUUUUCCUAGCCCAGCCCUCCAUUUUCAGAAAUCACCACAAGCAGGCAGCCUGACUUUCCUUCCUUCCAGUUACUUUAUGGUUUCCCUAUACACAGGUGUCCAUAACUUAGCACUGAAUUUCAUUAAGUGAAACAGAUUACACAAAAGCAAGAGCAUUGCAUGUGACAGCAGAACAGACUAUUUGCAGCACUUUCUCUAAAUUUUACUAGUGACACGGAAAUCAUUACAUUUGUGUGGCUGGCUGAAAAAUAAGCUUUGUUUCUCCAUAAGUAAAAGUUGUCCUCUACUCCA